GUCGAACGAAGCACUGAAAGCAGAUUACUUCGGUUUGAAGCUUUCUUUGACUGAGUGGCGGACGGGUGAGUAACGCGUGGGUAACCUGCCUCAUACAGGGGGAUAACAGUUAGAAAUGACUGCUAAUACCGCAUAAGCGCACGGUUUCGCAUGGAACAGUGUGAAAAACUCCGGUGGUAUGGGAUGGACCCGCGUCUGAUUAGCUGGUUGGCGGGGUAACGGCCCACCAAGGCGACGAUCAGUAGCCGGCCUGAGAGGGUGAACGGCCACAUUGGGACUGAGACACGGCCCAAACUCCUACGGGAGGCAGCAGUGGGGAAUAUUGCACAAUGGGGGAAACCCUGAUGGAGGGGCGCAAAAAAAGGAAGAAGUAUUUCGGUAUGUAAACUUCUAUCAGCAGGGAAGAAAAUGACGGUACCUGACUAAGAAGCCCCGGCUAACUACGUGCCAGCAGCCGCGGUAAUACGUAGGGGGCAAGCGUUAUCCGGAUUUACUGGGUGUAAAGGGAGCGUAGGCGGCGAUGCAAGUCAGAAGUGAAAGCCCGGGGCUCAACUCCGGGACUGCUUUUGAAACUGUGUUGCUAGAUUGCAGGAGAGGUAAGUGGAAUUCCUAGUGUAGCGGUGA
rnacentral:rRNA from 1 species